AUUGAACGCUGGCGGCAGGCUUAACACAUGCAAGUCGAACGGUAACGCGGGGCAACCUGGCGACGAGUGGCGAACGGGUGAGUAAUACAUCGGAACGUGCCCAGUAGUGUGGGAUAGCCCGGCGAAAGCCGGAUUAAUACCGCAUACGACCUAAGGGUGAAAGGGGGGGAUCGCAAGACCUCUCGCUAUUGGAGCGGCCGAUGUCAGAUUAGGUAGUGUGUGGGGUAAAGGCCCACCAAGCCAACGAUCUGUAGCUGGUCUGAGAGGACGAUCAGCCACACUGGGACGGAGACACGGCCCAGACUCCUACGGGAGGCAGCAGUGGGGAAUUUUGGACAAGGGGGGAAACCCUGAUCCAGCCAUGCCGCGUGCGGGAAGAAGGCCUUCGGGUUGUAAACCGCUUUUGUCAGGGAAGAAAAGCUCUAGGAUAAUACCUUGGAGUAAUGACGGUACCUGAAGAAUAAGCACCGGCUAACUACGUGCCAGCAGCCGCCGUAA
rnacentral:rRNA from 1 species